UUCCGUGUUAGUCGCUACUUUACUUCACUCGUCUGGUUUAUGUAAAAGCUGUCAUUGUUGUUGUUGUGUUGGGGCUGUUGUGUUGUUAAAAUGAUUAACUGAAUCUUAGCAACUUUUGAGUGCGUUGUGUCAUUUUUGUUUAUUUUCUCUAGCAGCCUCUAAGUCUGUUUUUGCUUGGGAUAUGCUACCAUAAGUUUGCGG
rnacentral:misc_RNA from 1 species